GAUCUUACAGAUUGCUGUCAUUAUUCCCACUUCACAGAUGGGGAGGUAAAAACCCAGAGCUUAAUAGCAUGUCCAAGAUCACGUAACUAUUCCACUGCUCAAAAUUACUCCUGAAGGGAUAAGGACCCCAGGACAUGCCACUGGACCACUGAAGGAAUGGCGAUGGUAAUGAAGCAUUUUUGAUGAGCACAGCCAUUGUUUGCUCUGCGCUGUCCUCACCCCUCAAAAGAAUUUCCCUUAUUAUUAUGAAAGCUUUUUGUCUUAAAAAAUAUUACAUGUUAAUGGAACUGUCGUUUAACAAAUGUUUUAUAAGUGUACCAACAAGCACAUUGUCAAAAUAAAAGAUAGGAAAUAAGUGAAAA